rnacentral:lncRNA from 12 species
CCUGGUGCCAGGGCAGCCCAGGUCCCACUGGGUUAGGGGCUAUUGUCCUGUGCAGGGUGUGUCACCUUCCAGGAGGGAGAGUGGGCAGAGGCAGGGCACAGUGGGUCCUUGGCACCACCCACCUGCACCGACUCCGUUGGGGACUCCGUGCCUUCCCUCCUCCCUGCAACCCCUGUGUGCUCUAUUGGACACCCGGUCUUCUGAUGAGCAGGGUAUCCAGAGAAUCCCAGGGAGUCUGAGCAUGUCCCACAGGGGGCACCUGCACCAGGACCCGGUGUUGACUUGGGGAAAUAUGGGAUGCGUCCAUGCAGACAGAAGACCCCCGCCUUGUCAGGGCCUCUGGUGAAGCCUAAGAAAAAUGUGGGUGCCUCAUCCACACUGACAGGAUUCUCCAGCCUCCUCAGGACCCACUGUGAAGGACCUGCACUAAAGCUUCAGGAAAUAUGGGGCUGCGUCUAUGCUGACAGGAGCCCACAGCCUCCUCAGGAUCCGCGGUGAGUUUUCAGGGGACGUGGGGCCAUGUCCAGGCUGACAGGAGCCCCCGGCCACCUGAGGACCUUCUGUGAGUCUUCCAGAGGAUGUGAGGCAUAGUCCACAGUGACAGGAGACCCGCCAUCCUCAGGACCCGCUGACUAUCACUCAGGAACACGUGGGGCCAUGUCCACACUCACAGGAGCCCUGCUUCCUCAGGACCCCCUGGAGGACUUUGGAGGCGCUGUUGGGGGCCUCGUCCACAUCAGAAGUGACUACUCAGAACCACAGGGUAUGUGAAUGGGUAGAAUGAAUGAUAGGAUCAGGGGAGGGGAGUCAGUUGGUGGUUAGGCUUAGGUUAGAUGUUAGAUAUUUGUGAUUAAGCUUAUGGUUACGGAUUAGAGGUUAGGGUGAGGGAUAAGGGUA